UGGGGGAUAUUGCACAAUGGGCGAAAGCCUGAUGCAGCGACGCCGCGUGGGGGAUGAAGGCCUUCGGGUUGUAAACUUCUUUUGCUCUGAACAAGGCAUGCUAAUGUGUGUGUUGAGUGUAGGGGUUGAUUAGCGCCGGCUAACUACGUGCCAGCAGCCGCGGUAAUACGUAGGGCGCGAGUGUUGUCCUGAAUUAUUGGGCGUAAAGGGCUUGUAGGUGGCUGGUUGCGUCUGUCGUGAAAGCUCAUGGCUUAACUGUGGGUUUGCGGUGGGUACGGGCUGGCUUGAGUGCAGUAGAGGAGGCUGGAAUUCCUGGUGUAGCGGUGGAAUGCGCAGAUAUCAGGAGGAAUACCGGUGGCGAAGGCGGGUCUUUGGGCUGUUACUGACACUGAGGAGCGAAAGCAUGGGGAGCGAACAGG
rnacentral:rRNA from 1 species